rnacentral:tRNA from 3 species
GCGGCGGUAGCUCAGUUGGUAGAGCGCAAGCUUCCCAAGCUUGAGGUCGCGGGUUCGACCCCCGUCCGCCGCU